rnacentral:rRNA from 1 species
AGAGUUUGAUCCUGGCUCAGAUUGAACGCUGGCGGCAUGCCUUACACAUGCAAGUCGAACGGUAACAGGUCUUCGGAUGCUGACGAGUGGCGAACGGGUGAGUAAUACAUCGGAACGUGCCCGAUCGUGGGGGAUAACGGAGCGAAAGCUUUGCUAAUACCGCAUACGAUCUACGGAUGAAAGCAGGGGACCGCAAGGCCUUGCGCGGACGGAGCGGCCGAUGGCAGAUUAGGUAGUUGGUGGGAUAAAAGCUUACCAAGCCGACGAUCUGUAGCUGGUCUGAGAGGACGACCAGCCACACUGGGACUGAGACACGGCCCAGACUCCUACGGGAGGCAGCAGUGGGGAAUUUUGGACAAUGGGCGAAAGCCUGACGUAGCGACACCGCGUGAGCGAAGAAGCCCCUUGGGGUGUAAAGCUCCGUCAGCUGGAACGAAAAAAAUGACGGUACCAGCAGAGGAAGCAUCGGCUAACUACGUGCCAGCAGCCGCGGUAAUACGUAGGGUGCAAGCGUUAAUCGGAAUUACUGGGCGUAAAGCGUGCGCAGGCGGUUAUAUAAGACAGAUGUGAAAUCCCCGGGCUCAACCUGGGAACUGCAUUUGUGACUGUAUAGCUAGAGUACGGUAGAGGGGGAUGGAAUUCCGCGUGUAGCAGUGAAAUGCGUAGAUAUGCGGAGGAACACCGAUGGCGAAGGCAAUCCCCUGGACCUGUACUGACGCUCAUGCACGAAAGCGUGGGGAGCAAACAGGAUUAGAUACCCCGGUAGUCC